rnacentral:rRNA from 1 species
UACGUAGGUGGCGAGCGUUGUCCGGAAUUACUGGGCGUAAAGGGCGAGUAGGCGGUAACACAAGUCAGAUGUGAAAGGCGAGGGCUCAACUCUCGGAUUGCAUUUGAAACUGUGUAACUUGAGUGCGGUAGAGGAAAGUGGAAUUCCCAGUGUAGCGGUGAAAUGCGUAGAUAUUGGGAGGAACACCAGUGGCGAAGGCGACUUUCUGGGCCGUAACUGACGCUGAGGCGCGAAAGCGUGGGGAGCGAACAGGAUUAGAUACCCUGGUAGUCCACGCCGUAAACGAUGGAUGCUAGGUGUGGGAGGUAUCGACCCCUUCCGUGCCGUAGUUAACGCAAUAAGCAUCCCGCCUGGGGAGUACGACCGCAAGGUUGAA